rnacentral:tRNA from 1 species
GGAAAGGUGCUCGAGUGGUUGAAGAGGCACGCCUGGAAAGCGUGUAUACAGCGAAACUGUAUCAGGGGUUCGAAUCCCCUUCUUUCCG